UGCGUAGGCGGCCAGUUAAGUAGGGUGUGAAAGCUCUCGGCUCAACCGAGGAAUUGCGCUCUAAACUGAUUGGCUUGAGUGAGAUAGGGGUGUGCGGAACUUCCGGUGGAGCGGUGAAAUGUGUUGAUAUCGGAAGGAACACCAGUAGCGAAGGCGGCACACUGGGUCUUCACUGACGCUGAGGCACGAAAGCCAGGGGAGCGAACG
rnacentral:rRNA from 1 species